rnacentral:rRNA from 1 species
UACAGAGGUCUCAAGCGUUGUUCGGAUUCAUUGGGCGUAAAGGGCGCGUAGGCGGUCAGCACAAGUCAGUUGUGAAAUCUCCGGGCUUAACUCGGAAAGGUCAACUGAUACUGUGCGACUAGAGUGCAGAAGGGGCAACUGGAAUUCUCGGUGUAGCGGUGAAAUGCGUAGAUAUCGAGAGGAACACCUGCGGCGAAGGCGGGUUGCUGGGCUGACACUGACGCUGAUGCGCGAAAGCCAGGGAGCGAACGGG